UGCUACGGUCGCGUGGCGCGUUGGAUACGCCCGAUCCGUCGAUCUCGGAAGUUAAGCAACGCGCAUUCCGGACAGUUCUUGGAUGGGAGACCCCCAACCAAUGUCAACCGGAUUGCUGUAGCCG
rnacentral:rRNA from 1 species